AUUGAACGCUGGCGGCAUGCUUUACACAUGCAAGUCGAACGGUAACAGGCCGCAAGGUGCUGACGAGUGGCGAACGGGUGAGUAAUGCAUCGGAACGUGCCCAGUCGUGGGGGAUAACUACUCGAAAGAGUAGCUAAUACCGCUUACGAUCUAUGGAUGAAAGCGGGGGACCGUAAGGCCUCGCGCGAUUGGAGCGGCCGAUGUCAGAUUAGGUAGUUGGUGGGGUAAAGGCUCACCAAGCCAACGAUCUGUAGCUGGUCUGAGAGGACGACCAGCCACACUGGGACUGAGACACGGCCCAGACUCCUACGGGAGGCAGCAGUGGGGAAUUUUGGACAAUGGGCGCAAGCCUGAUCCAGCAAUGCCGCGUGCAGGAAGAAGGCCUUCGGGUUGUAAACUGCUUUUGUACGGAACGAAACGGCUCUGGUUAAUACCCGGGGCUAAUGACGGUACCGUAAGAAUAGGCACCGGCUAACUACGUG
rnacentral:rRNA from 1 species